rnacentral:lncRNA from 1 species
UGCUGGUGGCCUCAAGCUGAAGCCAUGCAGGGACAGGAAGGGGGUUGUUCCAAGGCUACAGGGAAGGGAGUGCUGUGGAGCGAGAGUUUCUGUCCAUGGGGGCGACCCCCAUCCACUCACACUCUGGCAUUCCAUUUCCCACUUCCCAACUCUUUCUCAAUUUUCACCUCCAAUUUAUUGAGCACUUACUACAUGCAGGGCUCUGCCAAAGUACUUUACACAGAUCUGACUCCUGUUCUCCCUCUCGCAUCAUGGAAAGGGGCUCUGUCCCCUCCCCAGAUGAGCGAAGCCCUGUUACUCAGACUCCCAUUGCACCAGGAGACACAGAAAAGUACAAAGAAGAAAACUAAAAAGGUGACCCAGAGAGAACCACUCUAAGAUGUGCACGGGAAUUCAGCUCAGCUCGCGUAUUUAAAUUGAGAUCCUACUGUUGUCUGUUUUUUCAUUUUUCACGAAAAUAAAACUUGACUCAAAG